UUGUAGAGGUUGCAGGCAAACGACUGCCUGACGUCGUCGAGUCUCGGGCACGAGCCUUACCGUCAGUUUGUGUCCAGCAUUAGUCCAGCCUGGUGCGAGGAUGCCCGUCGGGAGUUGGCCUGCAGCGAUACCAUUCUUGCCUUCGACCAGUUGGUGGACAUGAUAACCUGCUGGUCACCCGUGGAUGUCCAGAGAGGGCUCUGUCGAUUCCCUCUCCCAGCACCACCGCACCGGUGCCUAUGGAGCUGGGAGGUGCGGCGCUUAUGGAGGCUGGAGGAGGGGCUUUCACGUGUACCAGCAGAUAUGGAAAGCUGUGAAAGCCUGUUUGCAGACGAAAAGAGAGGUCCCAAUAUUUGUCCCAAGAGACUAGGGGUAUUUCCUAUAUGCCAUGGGUUAUUCUGCAUGUGUAGGCCUAGCUAUGUUAGCAAAUUUUGUAUACAAAAAUACAGUUAAACAUCACACACAAUGUAUAAAGUCACGCCCUGAUCUGUUUCAUCUGUCUUUGUGCUUGUCUCCACCCCCCUCCAGGUGUCGCCCAUCUUCCCCAUUAUCCCCUGUGUACUUAGACCUGUGUUUUCUGUUUGUCUUGUUUAUCAAGCUUACCAGUGUUUGUCCUGUCAGCUCCUGUCUUUUCCUAGCCUCUCUUUUUCUCACCCUCCUGGUUUUCGACCCCUGCCAGUCCUGACCUCGCCCGCCUAUCCACUCUGCCUGACCCUGAGCUUGCCUGCUGUCCUGUACCUUUGCCUCUGUUGCUGUAAUAAACAUUGUUACUUCGACACGGUCUGCAUCUGGGUCUUAGCUUAUCCUGAUGUAUAAACCUAUUACAGUUGGAGAAGGCCAACCCUGCUGGAGGUCUGCUGGGUGUGCAGGGUUCUAUUUCAGCACAGCAAUACUUCUAUUUCAGCCCAGUCAGACUUGCAGCCACCGCUGGUAUGGAGUUUUUUUUUUGUUAACCUGAAAUGAUGCUUUAGUGAUAAUGGUCUACUUGUUACUACUCAAUCGAUUGUUGUUUAGACUAAGAUGCUUAAUCUUUACGAGUUAGCUUAUUUGUACAUUUUUAAGUAAUUAAGUGUUGAUUAUUUGAAGUGAAGUGUUUAAACUUGUUUUAAUUCUUAAACUGUUAUUCAAAAUGAACUAGUAUGAAUGUUGAUUAAUCACAUAUCACAAUCCUGCAAUAAAGAGGGGAAGGGGUUUGUUCUCUGCGUUGUAUUCCCAAAUGAACAUGUCCUUUUUGUCUAAUCUUAAAAUCUCCAAUCUGUUUAAUUUUGUCACUCUCUCAGUAUCCGCUAUGUGAAUCCAUUUUGCAGCAUAUCAUAUAGCAUGUGUCACUGGUGUAAAGAGGAGUAGGCAGAAGGCAGUCUCAGGUUUAGAACUACUGAGUUUUUUGAAGCACCGUAGAUCAAAGCGGGACAAAACCCACAUGCUGUUUUGCUCAAAAUGUAUCUUCAUGAACAAAAAGGCACAGGAUGAACCCAAAGUGCAAAAUAUAAAGUACUCAGGAAAUAGUAGGAGAGAUUCCUCUCAGGAAAACAAGUAACAUUUGCAAUGACCGACAAAGACAAAUGCCAGAGGGAGUAUAUAUACAUAGAGUGGGGAUUGGAACCAGGUGUGUGUAAUGAUGACGAGACAAGUCCGGGGUUGACGAGUGAAAAUUCGGCAGCAGCUAGAAGGCUGGCGACACUGAACGCCUGAGCUGGACAGGAGGGGGAGCCAAAGCGAAGGCUGGUGUGUAGGCCAUAGGCCUACAGUGUGAUGGCAUUACUGGCCUUAUGGGCAUCUGUCAUCCGAAGCAGAGAAUAGCUAAACUCACACAUUGUUUACAUGUUGAGCUAUAGGUUCUCAAACCAUAUACUAGAUGUAUUUUAAGUGCUGCAUUACAGAUAACAUUUUAUAAGGUUAAUUUAGUUUAGCAAUGUUGCUUGCACAAUGAUUGCAGUUGGUCCCACAGAUAGACAGUACAUGGUUGCUCUAUGUAUCCCUGACCCUAGAUAAGCUAAAGACUGGGCUAACACAGCUAACCCUUUAGGUCAAUAAUAUAAUGUUUUUAUCAACAUUUUGUAUCGUGAGAGAAAUGUUACUAGCUAGUAACUAGCUAGUGAGUUAUACCUAGGUAGUUUACAAUGUUAGCUGACUUUUCUCAAAUCAAAUGUCAUUGAGGCUAGCUACUUUUUGCCCCUCCUUUACUAGCCUUUACAGCCAAAUAUCACUUCAGAAACGUUAAAAUAAAAAGAUACUGAUAUGGUCAGCAUUAUAGGCCAUUUCUCCCCUCUUGCUGCAGCUUUAGCUCACCUUGAAAUAACAGAAAUGCUGUGAAAACCAGCAUGCUGAAAACUUUCUCAAAUGUUUUAUCACCAGCUCCUUGUUGCUAGCCAGUGUUUCCAACUAUUUUUCAGCAGUGGUGUAAAGUACUUAAGUAAAAAUACUUGAAAGUACUACUUAAGCAGU